ACGUCUACAUUGCUAAUCUGUCUAUAAAAGACAGUUAUUACUAACUCGGUAGACACGUCACUGUGUCACUGGGUAUGUAAUGACAGUCGUUGAUAGAUAAUCGCGUCGUACCAAACGU